rnacentral:rRNA from 1 species
UUCUAUUUGUUUCCUAAAUAGUACAACCUGCUCAAUGCGUAAGUAAAUAGCCGCUUCAUUUGUGCUAAGGUAGCAUAAUCAUUAGCCUUAUAAUUUAAGGAUAGAAUGAAAGGUUCCACAUGUAAUUUCCUUUAUUGAUAUUGAUACUCUAAUUUUACCUGUAAGUAAAAAUGCUUACAUUUAUAAGAAGGACGAUAAGACCCUGUCGAACUUUACUUAUGUUUAACUGGGGCGGUAGAAAACCAUGUCUUUUCCCUAUUUCUUAUCUUAUCUCUUUAAAAGAAAUUAUAUCAAGUUACCGCAGGGAUAACAGCAUAAUUUUUUCCUAAAGAUCUUAUUAAAGAAAAAGAUUAUGACCUCGAUGUUGAAUAUUUUAUCUUUUAGGGGAAAAUCCAUAAAAAGAAAGUCUGUUCGACUUUUAAAUAUUUACA